rnacentral:rRNA from 1 species
UACAGAGGGGGCAAGCGUUGUUCGGAAUUACUGGGCGUAAAGGGCGCGUAGGCGGCCCACUAAGUCGAACGUGAAAUCCCCGGGCUCAACCCGGGAACUGCGUCCGAUACUGGUGGGCUUGAAUCCAGGAGAGGGAUGCGGAAUUCCAGGUGUAGCGGUGAAAUGCGUAGAUAUCAAGCGGAACACCGGUGGCGAAGGCGGCCUUCUGGACAGUGACUGACGCUGAGACGCGAAAGCGUGGGGAGCAAACAGG